UUAGAUACCCUGGUAGUCCACACAGUAAACGAUGAAUACUCGCUGUUUGCGAUAUACAGUAAGCGGCCAAGCGAAAGCAUUAAGUAUUCCACCUGGGGAGUACGCCGGCAACGGUGAAACUCAAAGGAAUUGACGGGGGCCCGCACAAGCGGAGGAACAUGUGGUUUAAUUCGAUGAUACGCGAGGAACCUUACCCGGGCUUAAAUUGCACCUGAAUAACGUGGAAACAUGUUAGCCGCAAGGCAGGUGUGAAGGUGCUGCAUGGUUGUCGUCAGCUCGUGCCGUGAGGUGUCGGCUUAAGUGCCAUAACGAGCGCAACCCUUAUCUUUAGUUACUAACAGGUCAUGCUGAGGACUCU
rnacentral:rRNA from 1 species